rnacentral:ncRNA from 1 species
GCGUGCGUUUGGGAGGCGUUCGGUUUCGGCCGAGGUUCGGGGUCAGAGCUAGCCUCCCAAACUCUGC